UACGGAGGGUGCGAGCGUUGUCCGGAAUCACUGGGCGUAAAGGGCGCGUAGGCGGCCCGGUAAGUCAAAGGUGAAAUCCCUCGGCUCAACUGAGGAAUUGCCUUUGAAACUGCCAGGCUUGAGGCCGGGAGGGGGUAGCGGAAUUCCCAGUGUAGCGGUGAAAUGCGUAGAUACUGGGAGGAACACCAGUGGCGAAGGCGGCUACCUGGACCGGUUCUGACGCUGAUGCGCGAAAGCGUGGGGAGCAAACAGG
rnacentral:rRNA from 1 species